rnacentral:antisense_RNA from 1 species
CUUGAUCGACCCCAGCCAUAGCGGUUCGGCCCGGUCGCGUCCAUAGGUGGCCAACAACGCUUGGGCCUC